CAGAAGGUCAGUAGUUGCGUGUCUCUGCGUCGUCACGCCUGUGUCGUUUUCCCUGCCUCCUGUCCUCUCCGCCAGCGUUUUGUCAUCUCACGUCAUCCUAAGAAGGCACCAACGAGACCCUGGAAGCCAACGAGAUGACUGCCAGCAUAAAAGAUGAAAGACCUACUUGAACAUUUG